GAUUUCUGGUGUGGUGCGCCGAGCCCGUCCUUUUUGGAUGAGUGCUUGGGCGCGCCUACCAUACUUCUGGAGAGUGCGCCUGCCCUUAACUGGGUUGGGUGUAUGCUCCAGAUCAUUUACUUUGAAAAAAUUAGAGUGUUUAAAGCAGGCUUACGCUAUGAAUACAUUAGCAUGGAAUAAUAAGAUAGGACUUCGGUUCUAUUUUGUUGGUUUCUAGGACUGAAGUAAUGAUUGAUAGGGACAGUUGGGGGUGCUAGUAUUUAACGGCCAGAGGUGAAAUUCUUGGAUUCGUUAAAGACUAACUUAUGCGAAAGCAUU
rnacentral:rRNA from 1 species